rnacentral:rRNA from 1 species
CUCGUAGGCGGCCAACUAAGUCAGACGUGAAAUCCCUCGGCUUAACCGGGGAACUGCGUCUGAUACUGGAUGGCUUGAGAUUGGGAGAGGGAUGCGGAAUUCCAGGUGUAGCGGUGAAAUGCGUAGAUAUCUGGAGGAACACCGGUGGCGAAGGCGGCAUCCUGGACCAACACUGACGCUGAGGAGCGAAAGCCAGGGGAGACGAAACG